GCCCCGGCCCCGCCCCGCGGUCCCAGCCGGGCCGGGCCUCGUCCCCGGCGGCGCUGAGGGCGCCUCCCUCUCAGCGAGAGAGCCCGUGGGCGUUGCUGGGGGCAUCAAGUCCCGGGCAGGAAUGUUAUGCUUUUAAACAAGAGAUAAAACUGCUGAAAAACCAGAGCUAGACCCAGCGAUGAAUUAAUGGAGGUGUGCAACAAAAUGGGUUGAGAGCACAGCUGCCUUAUUCUACCUUGUUUUCGCACUGUCUUCAGUUUUGCUUCAGAGAACGCUCCAUAUCUAAAUGGGUUUGUCAAAUUGGCAAAGAAGAACAGACGACCUCUGGUGUCUGUUGCAUCCUGAUUUAUCCACUUUGCUUCUGGCAGCCCAUGAAGGACAUCUGCUGCAGUGUGCCUGUGAACCUUCCCUGCAAACAGAUAAGGACUUUCUGUUUUCUGUUUUCAACCAGUGCUGGCUGAGCUGAAAGUUCCGGCAUCUUGUGGAGAGCAUGUAUAAAAGGAAUGACCUCAUGGCCAGUGUGAUGGUCACCUCCGCCACACCAGAGGGUAGUAGCAGCUCAGAUUCCCUGGAGGGGCGAAGUUCAGAUUAUGCCAAUAAAAGCUACGAUGCAGUUGUAUUUGAUGUGUUGAAAGUAACUCCUGAGGAGUUUGCUAGCCAGAUAACAUUGAUGGAUAUGCCAGUAUUUAAAGCUAUACAGCCUGAGGAACUAGCCAGCUGUGGAUGGAAUAAGAAAGAAAAACACACCCUCGCUCCAAAUAUUGUUGCCUUUACUAGGAGGUUUAACCAGGUCAGUUUUUGGGUUGUACGAGAAAUAUUAACAGCACAGACCUUAAAAAUAAGGGCAGAAAUACUGAGCCACUUUGUGAAAAUAGCUAAAAAGCUUCUAGAACUGAACAAUCUUCAUUCUCUUAUGUCUGUGGUGUCAGCACUGCAGAGCGCACCUAUCUUCAGGCUGACCAAAACUUGGGCUCUUUUGAAUCGGAAAGACAAGACCACCUUUGAGAAGCUAGACUAUUUACUGUCAAAGGAAGAUAAUUAUAAAAGGACACGAGAGUACAUCAGAAGCUUAAAAAUGGUUCCUACAAUUCCAUAUUUAGGAAUUUAUCUCUUGGAUUUAAUCUACAUAGAUUCUGCAUAUCCUGCUUCAGACAGCAUCAUGGAGAAUGAGCAAAGAUCCAAUCAAAUGAACAAUAUUCUCCGAAUAAUAGCUGAUCUGCAAGUGUCCUGCAACUAUGAUCAUCUCACAACACUUCCCCAUGUGCAAAAGUAUUUGAAGUCUGUCCGUUACAUUGAAGAACUUCAGAAGUUUGUAGAAGAUGACAAUUACAAAUUAUCUUUAAGAAUUGAGCCAGGUAACAGCUCUCCUCGACUGGUUUCCUCCAAAGAAGAUCUUGCAGGUCCAUCUGACAUGUCAGCAAUUAUGAAAUUCAGCAGGAGACCCACAUGUCCUGAUGCCUCAGUAGCAGCAAGUCUACCUACACCUCCUGUACCAAGGCACCGGAAGAGUCACAGCCUGGGAAACAAUAUGAUGUGUCAGUUGAGCGUCGUUGAGAGCAAAAGCGCCACCUUCCCGACGGAGCGGCCACGGCACCUGCUGGACGACAGUGUCCUGGAGUGUCACAGCCCCGUGCGCGGCCACACGCCCGGCCCACGCCUGGCCAACGGCCUCUCCAUAGAUAGCAGUGAAAGCUCAGAAUUUAGUGAGGAGCUGCCGUCAGGGCUUGAAAGGGGUCGUUUAUAUGCCACGCUGGGGCCUAACUGGAGGGUACCGAUCAGGAAUUCUCCUCGGAGUCGAAGCUGUGUCUACAGCCCAACAGGUGCAUGCAGCUGCACAGCAGGUGCUUCCACAGGAGUCAUUACUAUGGAAGGGCCUUUAAGAAGGAAAACACUGCUCAAAGAAGGCAAGAAACCUACUCUCUCCUCAUGGACUAGAUACUGGGUCAUACUUUCAGGAUCAACUCUUCUGUACUUCGGAGCAAAAGCUUUAAGAGGCACUGAAAGAAAACAUUAUAAAUCUACACCUGGGAAAAAGGUCUCCAUUGCAGGCUGGAUGGUGGCACUGCCUGAUGACCCAGAGCAUCCUGAUAUUUUCCAGCUAAAUAACCCUGACAAAGGAAACAAUUUGCAGUAGGACAUUGAAGAAAACUAAGUUUACAGAAGCCUUGAUGAGAAGAAAGCCAGGAUUAAAUUAGAUCUGACCUGCGGCGUAUGAAUGAUGCACAGUCCCCAGUUGUGGCAAUGUUUACAAGUUUCAGACUGGUUCAAGGUUUCAUGCAAUAUUAUGGCAUAAACAUCUGGAUGAUGCGUGCAAAAGCAACAAGCCUCAGGUACCUGCUAAUCUAAUGUCAUUCGAAUAAUUUCCUCUCCUACCUGGUGUGACUUCAAGUGCCAAACUGAAGAAACAGGUUAUUGUUCUCUAAGGAGGAAGAUGAGAAAGGUUUUCCUGACAAGAGCCAGCCACAGAUAUUUCAGCACUUUCCUAUGUAACUUGAAAGUGAUUCUGACACAGCUUUUGAAAGCAGAAAGUGAAUGUUAUCCCUAGGACCAGAUAAAGUCUCAUGCACUGAGUGAAAGCAGACAAGUUAGAUGGACAGAAGAUUAAUCCUGACUCUUGCAGGAUUCUGGAACCCUCAACUAUUUGUGGUCAGAGACUGCAUGAACUGAUAUUUGGCCGCAAACUGAGCAUUAUAUCUUCUGCCUGUUCUUUUUCAAAUGGUUCUUUUUAUUGUUAAGCUGCUUUGUGUGACUGAAGAAUAUUUGGCCCAUGUUGGGUUUCAAUUCUUUCUAAUGCACAGAAUGAUUGACAGUGUUAACUUGCUCCAAAGUGUCAAUUAGAAUAGAAAAUUGUGGAACAACAUUUUUAUAAUCUAAGUGCACUGAGUUGCUUGGCAAUGUGGCUGCCUCAAAUUUUCUAUCAAAUCUCUGGACAAUAUGCUGUUCAUAUUUGAGCUAUUUGGGAAAAAUGUAUUUUGGCGUAGGACACUUGGUUUUCUUUUUCAUUCAGUUGUUUUGCUCAGGAAUACACUGGUAAUAGAUUUAAGGCCGUUUAUGUUGUGCUGAAGUUUGUCUUUCAUUCUUUUACCAGUGGCAUAAUUGCUUAUAAAUUUGGUGUUUUGGUUCAGUCUGAACAUUGUUCAGUUCAAACCCCUUAGCACAGGAAAGCAGGUAAUCAGGUGUUUUAUCUCACAUGGUCCUGGCUCCUCAAAAUGACUCCAUAUCAUUGUUUCUGUUCUGUCCUUCUGUGGAUGAGGUGGCUCCACUCAAUUCCAGUAUGUGUUGUGACUUCAGGACAUUAGUACUGCUAGACGGUACUGCUACUAUAAAAUCAUGGUGGCAGUGAAAGACUGUCUAACAGUGGAGCAAGUACAAAGAAGUCUCCAAAUCAAUAUCCAGAGAAUAAAUGAACAAACAAAAGAAGUGUAACUGGACCUUCUCCUCCAAAGGAACUCUCUUUGUGCUGUCUUCCUGCUGUACCCUGGCACUCCUGCAGUCAGAAUCGUUUUCUGUUCAUAUGUUAAAUUCAUCACGUUUUCUUUUUGAAACUCUUUUGCGAUAUAGCAUCAUUAUUCAGACUUCAUCAAUCACCAGAAAGCCUCUUCUGACUUUCCUAAGAUUGCAUAAAGGAGAAAUUGGCAAGUCAGCCUCUAACUUACAAACCAGGAACACCAUGAAAGUCAGUUUAAGUGAACAGAACCUCUACUAGAACAAGCUCCCUGGCAUUAGCAGUAUGUAUUCUGUGGACUUCCAUGAUUUUCUACAUUUUAAUUUUGAAACUUCUCUAACAACAAGGAGAAAAAGCCAACUGUAUUGUUAAAUGAAGGUCAAAAGUAAAUUUAUUGUUCUUUUAAGAGUUCAUGUUACAAUCCUGAAAGCCUAAUACAUACCAGGUUUUCAAGAAAAACAGUUCCUGAUGACAACUGCAUUUAGAUCCUGGGACAUGGGAAAGCGUAUGUAAAGUUGACAAAAUUUAUUUGAUAACUGAGGAACUCUGUGAAAAGAGUGGUAAUUAAAAAUAUAUUUGUAUUGUUUUUCUCUUUCUUUGCUAACUUAAGACAACUUUGAACUAGGAAAUACAUGGUUAUCUGCAAGGGCAGGGCAUCGAACACCAUUAGAGAGAGUAUAGAAGCUUUUUGAAUGUGGUAACAUCCUGUCAGAAGUAAAUGACUUCAGACUGUUAGGCUGUGAUGUAAUCUGAAUUAUUCUACACCUGUGGAUUUUUGUGAUUAGUCGUCAAUGAGAUCAAACAUCUUUUCCAUAUAGCACAUUGUGAAAUUGCUGCAGAGUAUUGAGAAAUUCAGAUUGAUGGCAGUGAAAGAAUAAUGACAGCAGUGAAAUAAUACAAGUAAAACAUCUUAAACCAAUUUUAAAUUAGUCUUUAAGUAUUAAACAGUUCGUAGCUGCUGAUUAGAGGUGUUAUGAUGCCAUUUGGUACGAUUUGCAAUUACCAGGUACUUCUAUGGGUAAUUGAAAGCUGCUAUUGAAAUACAAUAGGUUGCCUGUCACUACUGAUUGUUACAGCAUUUCCACAAAAAAAAAAAAUCACAAACCAUACAAGUUUUCCUCCAUCAAAGAGAACAGCUACAAUAGUUAUGUAAAAGUAAACAUUAUAACAUAAUUACCAUUUUCAGAAUUGUGAAGAUAUAAUAACUAUAGGUAAUAUCAUUAGUUUAUUUAAUGUAUUAUUUAAUUUAUUUAAUUAUUUUUAUUUUUAUUAUUUAAUUAUUCAUUAUUAAUUUUCAUUUAUUUAAGGAAUUUUAAUGUAAUUCAGUGCCAAAAUGCUUGUUUUUCCAAAUAGCACUAAAAUGAGGCAAAGAAGCUAGUUUUCAAAGUGAGACUGACUUGUCACACUGUAAUGUUAAUCAAUUUCAACAUUUUGGUUUGUUUUGUGUGGAAACUGUUGCACUAUUUUUGGCUGUGUUUUCCAGCAGUCCACUGCAUGCCAUUUCUGUAAAGGAUUCUUUCUAUAAUUCUUGUGAACUGUCUCACCUGUAAGAACUCUGGUGUUGGAAUCUAGGUUUUUGGCAAAGUAUUUUGUUACCUCAGUCUUGUAUCGAGUUGCUGCAUUUUUCAGUUUGUUACAUUGAUAAUAAUGAUUGUUUUGCUAAUUAAAUACUUUAAU